UACAGAGGGUGCAAGCGUUAAUCGGAUUGACUGGGCGUAAAGGGCGCGUAGGCGGUUAAUUAAGUGAUAGGUGAAAGGCCCGGGCUUAACUUGGGCAUUGCCUGUCAUACUGAUUGACUAGAGUCUAAGAGAGGGGAGUAGAAUUUCCGGUGUAGCGGUGAAAUGCGUAGAGGUCGGAAAGAAUACCAGUGGCGAAGGCGGCUCUCUGGCUUAAGACUGACGCUGAGGUGCGAAGGCGUGGGGAGCAAACAGG
rnacentral:misc_RNA from 1 species